ACCCCUACGGGGGGCAGCAGUGGGGAAUAUUGCACAAUGGGCGCAAGCCUGAUGCAGCCAUGCCGCGUGUGUGAAGAAGGCCUUCGGGUUGUAAAGCACUUUCAGUCAGGAGGAAAGGUUAGUAGUUAAUAUCUGCUGGCUGUGACGUUACUCGCAGAAGAAGCACCGGCUAACUCCGUGCCAGCAGCCGCGGUAA
rnacentral:rRNA from 1 species